GGAUCAGGUAAGCAUGCUGAUGUGCAUAGCUGCAUUGAAUUUCAAAGGCAAAUUCACAACAUCAGAGCAUUUCCAUUUCUCUGCUUAUGCUAUUCCCCAGAAUACAUCCAAAACAAAAUUAAGACUUGUUAGAAAAGGCAAACAAAAUACUUUUUAAUAUUCUAAUAUAUUUUUGCGCCUUGACUUUAUAGAAGCAAUAGUUUUUUUUUGUUUUGUUUUGUUUUGUUUAAAGUCAAAGGCCGGACAGAAGCACAGAGAGAGAAAAGCAGUUACUCUGUACUUCCCAUCAAUAAGCGAUGUUCAGCCACAUCCCGGGAAGCAGGGUCUCAAUAUGCAUAGCAGUUGUUCAGGAGGGCAGGCAUUUCCACAAUGAGAGCCCACCCCUCUCCUUCCCCUCUCCCACCUUUUAUUGCUGAGUGUGACAUCAUGUGUUAUGGAAUACCCCUUUGGUCGGUUUAGGUCAGCUGCCCUGGUGAUGUCCCCUCCCCAUCACUUGCCCACCCCCAGCUUGCUGGCUCUUGGGGAGGGAGUCCUGAUGCGGUGCCAGUAUUGUGAAGCAACAGACACAACACUGGUGUGAUGCCAAUGCUGCUCUAGCUACACGUGCAGAACACAGCACUGUAUGGGCUGCUUCAGGAAAAGUUAACUCCAUCCCAGCCAGACCCAGCACGACCAUAAAUCAAAUGCAAAUCAAAUCGAUGCAAAUCAAAUUACAGGAUCUGGACUUUGGACACUUCAAUUGCAACUGGAUAGUUGAAUUCCAAGGAACAUACAUUAAGAGUCUUGGAACAAGUGUACUUUAAAGAAGAAAUUACAGAACAGCAGCUCUGAAAAUAAUUGCUUUAGCUACUGAUGCUACAAGUUGGUUUAUAUGAGAACACAGCAAAAGAAAAUGUAAACAAGUUCCAUUUUACAAAUGUGAAAAGUGUUGCAUCUGGAGUUUCGAGCCUGAACUUUUCCACGAUCCUGACCUCCAUCAUGCCCACGUGCUGCACUCCCAGUUCAUGGAAUUUGGCAUGGAUGUCUUCUGGGCAUCUCUCCCUUUCUUUUGUAUCUAAUUUUGUACACAGGCAAGUUUCAGCUGAGUGCAAAAAGUACAUUUUCUUUAAUUAGGUCUAGUAUUUGUUCUUGGUACUCUGUUUGGCUGUCCAUUAACACCUCUCUAAUGGAGUUAUUUUGAAAUCCGUGGAAGUAAAUUUUCAUAUUUUAUUUCCAU
rnacentral:lncRNA from 1 species